rnacentral:rRNA from 1 species
GUCGAGCGAGCGGAACAACAGAUUUACUUCGGUAAUGACGUUGGGAAAGCGAGCGGCGGAUGGGUGAGUAACACGUGGGGAACCUGCCCCUAAGUCUGGGAUACCAUUUGGAAACAGGUGCUAAUACCGGAUAAUAAAGCAGAUCGCAUGAUCAGCUUUUGAAAGGCGGCGUAAGCUGUCGCUAAGGGAUGGCCCCGCGGUGCAUUAGCUAGUUGGUAAGGUAACGGCUUACCAAGGCGACGAUGCAUAGCCGAGUUGAGAGACUGAUCGGCCACAUUGGGACUGAGACACGGCCCAAACUCCUACGGGAGGCAGCAGUAGGGAAUCUUCCACAAUGGACGCAAGUCUGAUGGAGCAACGCCGCGUGAGUGAAGAAGGUUUUCGGAUCGUAAAGCUCUGUUGUUGGUGAAGAAGGAUAGAGGUAGUAACUGGCCUUUAUUUGACGGUAAUCAACCAGAAAGUCACGGCUAACUACGUGCCAGCAGCCGCGGUAAUACGUAGGUGGCAAGCGUUGUCCGGAUUUAUUGGGCGUAAAGCGAGCGCAGGCGGAAAAAUAAGUCUAAUGUGAAAGCCCUCGGCUUAACCGAGGAACUGCAUCGGAAACUGUUUUUCUUGAGUGCAGAAGAGGAGAGUGGAACUCCAUGUGUAGCGGUGGAAUGCGUAGAUAUAUGGAAGAACACCAGUGGCG